CCUACGGGUGGCAGCAGUAGGGAAUCUUCCACAAUGGGCGAAAGCCUGAUAGAGCAACGCCGCGUGGGUGAAGAAGGUCUUCGGAUCGUAAAACCCUGUUGUUAGAGAAGAAAGUGCGUGAGAGUAACUGUUCACGUUUCGACGGUAUCUAACCAGAAAGCCACGGCUAACUACGUGCCAGCAGCCGCAGUAAUACGUAGGUGGCAAGCGUUAUCCGGAUUUAUUGGGCGUAAAGGGAACGCAGGCGGUCUUUUAAGUCUGAUGUGAAAGCCUUCGGCUUAACCGGAGUAGUGCAUUGGAAACUGGCUUUCUUGAGUGAAGUAGAGGUUGGCGGAAUUCCGGGUGUAGCGGUGAAAUGCGUAGAUAUUCGGAGGAACACCGGUGGCGAAGGCGGCCAACUGGGCUUUAACUGACGCUGAGGCUCGAAAGUGUGGGGAGCAAACAGGAUUAGAUACCCGAGUAGUC
rnacentral:rRNA from 1 species